UCGAGUUACCGCUCCUUAUAACCCUUUGUGAACAUACCCCAAACGUUGCCUCGGCGGGCAGCCGGAGCCCAGCUCCGGCGCCCGGAGCCGCCGUCUCGGCGCGCCCCACCCGCCGGCGGACCACUAAACCCUAUUUAAACGACGUCUCUUCUGAGUGGCACAAGCAAAUAAUCA
rnacentral:misc_RNA from 1 species